rnacentral:rRNA from 1 species
AGAGCGAACGCUGGCGGCAGGCCUAACACAUGCAAGUCGAACGGAUCCUUCGGGAUUAGUGGCAGACGGGUGAGUAACACGUGGGAACGUGCCUUUUGGUUCGGAACAACUCAGGGAAACUUGAGCUAAUACCGGAUGUGCCCUUCGGGGGAAAGAUUUAUCGCCAUUAGAGCGGCCCGCGUCUGAUUAGCUAGUUGGUGAGGUAAAGGCUCACCAAGGCUUCGAUCAGUAGCUGGUCUGAGAGGAUGAUCAGCCACACUGGGACUGAGACACGGCCCAGACUCCUACGGGAGCAGCAGUGGGGAAUCUUGCGCAAUGGGCGAAAGCCUGACGCAGCCAUGCCGCGUGAAUGAUGAAGGUCUUAA